rnacentral:other from 1 species
UACCCUGCGGUGUGCGUAAUAUAGCCAUUUAUUUUACCAACACAUUUUUAGAGGGAUUCUUGCUCUUUGUGUGGAUUGCAGGCCUCCCUAUAUGGAAGAAGGAAGCGCGAAGCACAAAGGCGGUUGCCCACCUGCUUAGGCAGGUAAUAUAAAGGCAUCACUUACGGCUCGGCGGGGCAU